AGAGCGAACGCUGGCGGCAGGCCUAAUACAUGCAAGUCGAGCGCACCUUCGGGUGAGCGGCGGACGGGUGAGUAACGCGUGGGAAUAUGCCCUUUGGUACGGAACAACUGAGGGAAACUUCAGCUAAUACCGUAUGUGCCCUUCGGGGGAAAGAUUUAUCGCCAUUGGAGUAGCCCGCGUUGGAUUAGGUAGUUGGUGAGGUAAAGGCUCACCAAGCCUACGAUCCAUAGCUGGUCUGAGAGGAUGAUCAGCCACAUUGGGACUGAGACACGGCCCAAACUCCUACGGGAGGCAGCAGUAGGGAAUCUUGCGCAAUGGGCGAAAGCCUGACGCAGCCAUGCCGCGUGAAUGAUGAAGGUCUUAGGAUUGUAAAAUUCUUUCACCGGGGAAGAUAAUGACGGUACCCGGAGAAGAGCCCCGGCUAACUUCGUGCCAGCAGCCGC
rnacentral:rRNA from 1 species